rnacentral:rRNA from 1 species
AUUGAACGCUGGCGGCAGGCCUAACACAUGCAAGUCGAGCGGAGCGGCGGACGGGUGAGUAAUGCCUAGGAAUAUGCCUGGUAGUGGGGGAUAACGUCCGGAAACGGGCGCUAAUAUCGCAUACUAUCAGAUGAACCUAGAUCGGAUUAGCUAGUUGGUGGGGUAAAGGCCUACCAAGGCGACGAUCAGUAACUAGUCUGAGAGGAUGAUCAGUCACACUGGAACUGAGACACGGUCCAGACUCCAACGGGAGGCAGCAGUGGGGAAUCUAGGACAAUGGGCGAAAGCCUAAUCCAGCCAUCCCGCGUGUGUGAAGCAGGUCUUCGGAUUGUAAAGCACUUUAAGUUGGGAGGCGUUACCAACAGAAUAAGCACCGGCUAACUUCGUGCUAGCAGCCGCGGUAAUUC